UGGGGAAUUUUGGACAAUGGGGGAAACCCUGAUCCAGCCAUCCCGCGUGUGCGAUGAAGGCCUUCGGGUUGUAAAGCACUUUUGGCAGGAAAGAAACGUCAUGGGUUAAUACCCCGUGAAACUGACGGUACCUGCAGAAUAAGCACCGGCUAACUACGUGCCAGCAGCCGCGGUAAUACGUAGGGUGCAAGCGUUAAUCGGAAUUACUGGGCGUAAAGCGUGCGCAGGCGGUUCGGAAAGAAAGAUGUGAAAUCCCAGAGCUCAACUUUGGAACUGCAUUUUUAACUACCGGGCUAGAGUGUGUCAGAGGGAGGUGGAAUUCCGCGUAUAGCAGUGAAAUGCGUAGAUAUGCGGAGGAACACCGAUGGCGAAGGCAGCCUCCUGGGAUAACACUGACGCUCAUGCACGAAAGCGUGGGGAGCAAACAGG
rnacentral:rRNA from 1 species